GCAUAUCCAUAAGCGGAGGAAAAGAAACCAACAGGGAUUGCCUUAGUAACGGCGAGUGAAGCGGCAACAGCUCAAAUUUGAAAUCUGGCCCUCGGGUCCGAAUUGUAAUUUGUAGAGGAUGAUUUUGGUGCGGUAUCUUCCGAGUUCCUUGGAACAGGACGCCUUAGAGGGUGAGAGCCCCGUACGGUUGAAUGCCUAGCCUCUGUAAAUCUCCUUCGACGAGUCGAGUAGUUUGGGAAUGCUGCUCUAAAUGGGAGGUAAAUUUCUUCUAAAGCUAAAUAUUGGCCAGAGACCGAUAGCGCACAAGUAGAGUGAUCGAAAGAUGAAAAGCACUUUGAAAAGAGGGUUAAAUAGCACGUGAAAUUGUUGAAAGGGAAGGAUUUGUGACCAGACUUUUUCUGGGCGGAUCAUCCGGGGUUCUCUCCGGUGCACUUUGCCCAGUAAAGGCCAGCAUCGAUUUUCGGCGGCGGAUAAAAGCAGUGGGAAUGUGGCUCCCCUCGGGGAGUGUUAUAGCCCAUUGUAUAAUACGCUGCUGGGGAUCGAGGUACGCGCUUCUGCAAGGAUGCUGGCGUAAUGGUUAUCAAUCACCCGUCUUGAAACACGGACCAAGGAGUCGAACAUUUAUGCGAGUGUUUGGGUGUUAAACCCUCACGCGUAAUGAAAGUGAACGGAGGUGAGAGCCCGUACGGGUGCAUCAUCGACCGAUCCUGAAGUUUUCGGAUGGAUUUGAGUAAGAGCAUAACUGUUCGGACCCGAAAGAUGGUGAACUAUGCGUGGAUAGGGUGAAGCCAGAGGAAACUCUGGUGGAGGCUCGCAGCGGUUCUGACGUGCAAAUCGAUCGUCAAAUCUGCGCAUGGGGGCGAAAGACUAAUCGAACCAUCUAGUAGCUGGUUACCGCCG
rnacentral:rRNA from 1 species